UACAGAGGGGGCAAGCGUUGUUCGGAAUUACUGGGCGUAAAGGGCGCGUAGGCGGCCCGCUAAGUCGAACGUGAAAUCCCCGGGCUCAACCCGGGAACUGCGUCCGAUACUGGCAGGCUUGAAUCCGGGAGAGGGAUGCGGAAUUCCAGGUGUAGCGGUGAAAUGCGUAGAUAUCUGGAGGAACACCGGUGGCGAAGGCGGCAUCCUGGACGGACAUUGACGCUGAGACGCGAAAGCGUGGGGAGCAAACAGG
rnacentral:rRNA from 1 species